CGGGUGUGUUCAGAGCAGCGCACCUGAAGCUGCCGCGCUGUUUACACCACACCCAACAGCAUCUCGGGCCGAUGCUCACGCGGGCGCCCCUCUGGUGGGCAUCUCUAUGAACGGUUGCCCUACACAG
ensembl:snoRNA